AGCGAACGCUGGCGGCAGGCCUAACACAUGCAAGUCGAGCGCCCCGCAAGGGGAGCGGCAGACGGGAGAGUAACACGUGGGAACGUACCCUUUGGUUCGGAACAACCCAGGGAAACUUGGGCUAAUACCGAAUAAGCCCUUACGGGGAAAGAUUUAUCGCCGAAGGAUCGGCCCGCGUCUGAUUAGCUAGUUGGUGAGGUAACGGCUCACCAAGGCGACGAUCAGUAGCUGGUCUGAGAGGAUGAUCAGCCUCACUGGGACUGAGACACGGCCCAGACUCCUACGGGAGGCAGCAGUGGGGAAUCUUGGACAAUGGGCGCAAGCCUGAUCCAGCCAUGCCGCGUGAGUGAUGAAGGCCUUAGGGUUGUAAAGCUCUUUCAGCGGGGAAGAUAAUGACGGUACCCGCAGAAGAAGCCCCGGCUAACUUCGUGCCAGCCGCCGCAGUAAC
rnacentral:rRNA from 1 species